CUGAUGCUCGAAAGUGUGGGUAUCAAACAGGAUUAGAUACCCUGGUAGUCCACACAGUAAACGAUGAAUACUCGCUGUUUGCGAUAUACAGUAAGCGGCCAAGCGAAAGCAUUAAGUAUUCCACCUGGGGAGUACGCCGGCAACGGUGAAACUCAAAGGAAUUGACGGGGGCCCGCACAAGCGGAGGAACAUGUGGUUUAAUUCGAUGAUACGCGAGGAACCUUACCCGGGCUUAAAUUGCAGUGGAAUGAUGUGGAAACAUGUCAGUGAGCAAUCACCGCUGUGAAGGUGCUGCAUGGUUGUCGUCAGCUCGUGCCGUGAGGUGUCGGCUUAAGUGCCAUAACGAGCGCAACCCUUAUCUUCAGUUACUAACAGGUCAUGCUGAGGACUCUGGAGAGACUGCCGUCGUAAGAUGUGAGGAAGGUGGGGAUGACGUCAAAUCAGCACGGCCCUUACGUCCGGGGCUACACACGUGUUACAAUGGGGGGUACAGAAGGCAGCUACCUGGUGACAGGAUGCUAAUCCCAAAAGCCUCUCUCAGUUCGGAUCGAAGUCUGCAACCCGACUUCGUGAAGCUGGAUUCGCUAGUAAUCGCGCAUCAGCCACGGCGCGGUGAAUACGUUCCCGGGCCUUGUACACACCGCCCGUCAAGCCAUGGGAGCCGGGGGUACCUGAAGUACGUAACCGCAAGGAGCGUCCUAGGGUAAAACUGGUGACUGGGGCUAAGUCGUAACAAGGUAGCCGUACCGGAAGGUGCGGCUG
rnacentral:rRNA from 1 species